AGAGUUUGAUCAUGGCUCAGGACGAACGCUAGCGGCGUGCCUAAUGUAUGCAAGUCGAGCGGAGCCUUCGGGCUCAGCGGCGAACGGUUGAGUAACACGCCGGCAACCUGCCCCGUAGUGGGGGAUAACUCAUCGAAAGGUGGGCUAAUACCGCAUGUCGCCCUGGGUCGCAUGACCCGGUGGCGAAAGCAGCAAUGCGCUACGGGAGGGGCCGGCGGCCUAUCAGCUUGUUGGUGGGGUGACGGCCUACCAAGGCUUCGACGGGUAGCUGGUCUGAGAGGAUGGUCAGCCAGACAGGGACUGAGACACGGCCCUGACUCCUUUGGGGGGCAGCAAUGAGGGAUAUUGCGCAAUGGGGGCAACCCUGACGCAGCGACGCCGCGUGGGUGAUGAAGUCCUUCGGGAUGUAAAGCCCUUUUGCCGGGGACGAGAAUGGACGGUACCCGGCGAAUAAGCCCCGGCUAACUACGUGCCAGCAGCCGCGGUA
rnacentral:rRNA from 1 species